AGGCUGAAGACUUUGCCGGAUUAGCUGAGAGGUGGUGCAUGGCCGUCGUCAGUUCGUACUGUGAAGCAUCCUGUUAAGUCAGGCAACGAGCGAGACCCACGCCCACAGUUGCCAGCGUACUCUCCGGAGUGACGGGUACACUGUGGGACCGCCGCUGCUAAAGCGGAGGAAGGAAUGGGCAACGGUAGGUCAGUAUGCCCCGAAUAUCCCGGGCUACACGCGAGCUACAAUGGUUGGUACAAUGGGUAUCUACCCCGAAAGGGGACGGGAAUCUCCUAAAACCAAUCUUAGUUCGGAUUGAGGGCUGCAACUCGCCCUCAUGAAGCUGGAAUCCGUAGUAAUCGCGUUUCAACAGAACGCGGUGAAUACGUCCCUGCUCCUU
rnacentral:rRNA from 1 species